AUCCUAUGAUGCACCAUCUACAAGCUCGUAUCGUUGGUUGGAUGCAGUUCAAAGUGUGUAGCUACAAAACAACAAACAGGUUGAUCACACUUCUAUUCAAGAAUAUGCAAGACUCACCAUUACUUUAUAAGUUGAACUCAAUGACGUACAGCAACAGCUUAAAGAACAACAAAAUGCUCCUUCUAUCUUUACAAGUAUGAAAGACUUAAAACAUGUACGUUGUAAGGUCGAUAACAACCAAACAUAGCUUGAGUAGCGAGAUCAGAUGAUAUUGCAACAUUAAAAAGAUAUUGAAGCACUCACUUAUAAGCAUACAACUACAAAAGAAGAAAUAAAAGCACACAAUAGUAUAUUACAUAAAGUCUUGCUUAAGAAUACACAAGGCACUUGGAUAUAGAAGAUAAAAUGGAAAUUACAACAGUAAAGUCUUAAUAACUCUAAUAAAAUUUUAAAUAAAAUCCAAUUAAAGCUUUACAUUUUUAAUCAAAUUUUGAUCAAAUCCAAUUAAAAUCUUAAAGAAAUAAUGAAAGAAAUAUAAAGAAAACUUUAAGAAUUGACAAAAAUCUUUGAAAAAUACUAAAAAAUAAAAAAAUUCUAAGUAAAUCUUUAAUAAAUCCUAAGUAAAACCUGACCAAAUCCGAAUCAAAUCUUAAACCUUAAACCAAAUCUUAAUUGAAUUUUAAAUCCUAAAAGAAAUCCUAAUUGAACCUUGAAUCCUAAAUCAAAUCUUAAUAAAACUCUAAAUCCUUAAAAAAAUCCUAAUCAAAUUCUAAAUCCUAAACCAAAUUCUAAUGUAAUCUUAAUCCUUAAAUAAAUUCUUUAUCAAUCUUUUAGCAAAUUAAAACCUCAAUAAAUAAUAAUAUAAUUGUAGAUUUUGACUCAAAAUUUGUACACCUCUAAAUUACUAAUUUGACAACAAGUCCAAAUAAUUUGAAAAAGAACAAACUUAUCAAAUAAAAGAUAAAUCCUAAAAUCUAUUUGGAUGUUGGCUAACCUCUUAUUCUAACCUUGAUACCAAUCUCAUAGUACCAAUAUCUCUAAAUCUUACAAAGCAAUGGAUUUUAAAUUUUUUAAUAUUAAUAGAAAUUAAGUCUAUUACUAUUGUGUAAAUUUUUAUUUCAAUCUAAUUGGCAAAUUGUUGUAAAUCUUAAAAAACCUCAUUAGUUUUUUAAACUUUAAUUUCUAAGAUUCCAAUACAUUUGGAUUUCAAUAACCUUUGAAUAAGGUUUUAGAUCAAGCCUCAACUUACAAAAAUAUAUAUAUAUAUAUAUAUAUAUAUAACACAAUAAAAAUCAGUUAAUAAUAAAUUUUCAAAUUAUAAAUUUCAAAAAUGUUGCAUAAGCUCAAGCAAAAGAAUUACAUGCCGCAGAUAUGGAGUAACAUGAAGCAAAGAAGGAGGUUGAAUCCAUGAUCAAGGAUUUACAAAUCAAAUUCAAAGGAUCAACCUAUCAAAUAAGUUGACUUAUAGGCAUUGAAAAGUGUAAGCCCAUCACAUCACAAAAUGGUUAGAUCCAAUUGCCUCUUUACACAAUUGAUCUUGCAAAAAAAAAAAAAAAAAAAGAGUUUGUAUCUAAUCUACUACAAGACACCAAGUUCUAUACCAACAUACCUGAUUUCAAGCAAUCUUGCAAAGAUAUGACUACACCAUGUAUUUUAAAAACAAUCAUGGUAGAUCGACAUGACAUGUUGUAGAUUUUGGAUAGUGCCUUCAAUCUUGAGUAUGACAUUCAUGAAACUCAAGAAACCUCCCAACACAAAAAGAUAAUAUUGAUAGUCUUGCAUAGGUAGCAACUAGCAGCAUGCUCAACCAAAUAUCUACUUAACAAUUUUAAUGCACAUACCACCAAUUCAAACAAUGAAACUACAAAUGUCAAGGAUGCAAAGAACAUUAUUUUGCAAAAAAAUUUCAAACAUACAAAACUCAAGGAGUGAUAUGCCAAAACCACAAAUAUUGUGGAUUACUUAAUUUGUACAAAGACAAUAGGGCGGCUAGUUUUUGAUGUCUAAAUUCAUGCAAUGCACAUACAUACCAACUAUUAGAGGAUGCAUCAGGCCAUGGUCGUUGUAUUACUAUAUUCGUAUCAUAAUAAAGAACCUCAAAAAUAUGAUAAGCUUUGUUUAUACCUUUACAUCCAUAGCCAUUGCAUGGAAUUGCUACAAGCAAAGAUGCAUCACCACAUUGACCACAGUUGUCGAACUUGUUGCCCUUGCUAAAUCCACAAAAAAACAAAAAAAAAAGAAAGAAAAAAAAAAAAAACCCCUUGGCUCUAUCGCCAUUUACAUUUGCUCCAUGAACCUCAUAAAUUACCAACCAUUGUUUAUUGCAACAACCAAUCUGCCAUCAUCCUUGUCAAAAAUCCUAAUUACUAUCGCCACACCUAGCAUAUCAAUAUGAAGUAUUUUGCAAUAAAAAAGCAUUGCGAGAAUAAAUUCAUGGAUUUCCAAUACAUACACACCAAUGAUCAAAUUGCUGAUAUAUUAACUAAAUCUUUACCAAGAGACACAUUUCAACAAUUUUGUGAUUUGCUCGAUCUCCCACCAUUCCAUGAGAAUGAGUGGAAGAGGAAGGACCUGCAUUCUUUGCAAAAUGUUUUUGGAUGAGUGAGAGUAUUGGAUGACAUCCAUCCACACUCUACUUCCAUCAAACUGAAGAGUCCCUCGGAUACUUAUUGGUUCACUGGAACGUUUUUGUUAGUUGGCUACCAUAACAAUUAUGUGGUAACAACAUACACACAAUAAUUUCAAUCUUGCAAUGUCUCAUUUUUACUUACCAAAGCACAAUCCAAAAGCUCAAUACAACAAGGUACUUUGUAACCUAAAACUCAUUUCUCACACCAAAAAUCACAUCACCAAAAUCGGCAUCCAAAUGGGAUGUGAUUUCCAGACCAAAAUUCUCUAUUGAAAAAACUAAAGUCAUCAUUGAGAAAAGACUUUGCCCUCUGCACCCUCCAUGUAGUCUGGAGACAUUGGGUAGAGAAACCAUUUCAUUGCACAAAACCAACUGCAACCUUUGAGGAGCAUCGAAAUGACACUCAUCCGUUGAUCUUGAUUGCCUCCUCCAACUUCCCUCAAUACUUUUUCCAUCACCUUUUUAUCUCACCCUGAUAUCCACUAUUGAUCUUGCCGGCCGCUCCAUCCUCAAGACUCGGACCUGGGCAACCAGUCUGGGCAUCCCCCAGGAAAUGGUGACAUCUGGAGAUGGUCGCUCCCCACCAGGACCGGCAGAAUACCCCCAUACAUCCUGCGGAUUCUUCCUCGUGGCAAAUUCGCUGUUGCCUCUAGCCUCUCAGUAGUUGUGUUGCUGCGGUUCCGUUGUCGGCCCUCCAGGAUUGUCCCACCGCACACGUGCUCCAGACACGCCGACGAUCACGUGGAUGCUCCGACGGGUGGAAGCCCCGGCGAACACUGCAGUCCAAUUCAUCCUCUGCGACGUCGUAGGGCAUCCGGCGUCGUUUCUGCCUCCCCCAUACCAGGCGGUUGUGACACCGCCACGCCGCUUGAUUUCCAUCCACGAACCCACCGACACAUUCAACCCAAAACAUGUUGGUGGGGACUUGAGAGAAUUCCGCGUGCCAGUCGGCUGUCGGUGACCAGUGUCCGUGCUCAGAUUGCCGGCUUUGCCACCCAUCACGCGACGCUGAAACUCUCGAAGAUCAUGUGAGAGAAGGGAUGGGACUUCACGACACCCACGUAGCUUGCCGGACAACGAGCGAGACGUUCGAACCAACACGCUGUCGUCGUAGGUGAGAUGGUGAGGAACCACUACCUCUCGGAGCAUGGUUCAACUCAAGUUCCGCGCAAACCGAAUGAUCAUCUCGCCAGCAUCCUGGUCGUGUCUGCAACUGCGACCUGCAGUUCUCAACACCUUCCAACGCUGUGGCGGCGGGCCGCAACAUCAAAAUGUCGACGCCACCACUUGGGUACGACCGCUGUGAACAUUCGCAACCGGAAGAGAAACGCAAGCGCGUCUCACAAACUGAGGAAGGCCGCCAGGCCACCGCCAUUGCUUGGCGACGUGUGCCGCCAAAGUUUUCCAUCGACAAACAUGUCUGCCGGGCACAGUCGGUGUGCACAGUCUGUGAGCUUGGCGGAGGCUGAGUCAAGCACCAUCUCUACAUUCAUAUAACCUGCAUUCGCAUUGCAGUGUCACGACAACCUGCCAGACGCUCAAAGCAUUGUGAGUCCUUUGUGAAGCUGGACGAUCGACCGAGGCCUGCUCCGAAGUGAAACUUUCGACCCUGCCAGGGAGCUAUUUGUUUCACCAUGACUGAACCCAUGAAUGAUGUGAGUGGAGUUGUUUCGAUGUGAAUCCACAAUGAGAAUUGGACCGUGAAUGACAGUGUUGUUAUCGUGACAUUCUCACGUUUAUGCUCUUCGGAUUUAGGACAGCGGUUCCUAACACGAUCCUUCAAGUUUGCUACUCACCUUCACCAUGUCCGUUUGCAGUUUUUCGAUUACCCUACCAGACCGAAACCUCCGUUUCCUGUGGAACAAGGAGAACUACCGGAUAGGGUGAGUACGUGUGGGGGCUCGGUUUUUGGUUUUGAAAUAUCUAGUUGACAGGAUGCCAGAUACAGCUUGCAUCACCAAACAACAAAUCCCUGACAGGUUACCUCUUCUGUGGCAUGGUGAACGCAGACCACGGCACCGAAGAUGCGCUUGGGUCGGACCUCCUCGUCCCAGCCGGGAUCCAACACUACGAGUAAGCCAUGGGUUAUCACGCUCGCUAUCAUGCAAUUCUUGGGAUUUGCAGCUGUAAGGUCAUGAAAUGGAUGUGUGAGGCAUGAGCGAGCGUGGUCUACCCAGGAUUCUGGAGCUUGGCAACCACCUUCGGCAACUCGCCGCGCACAGUAGCGCUGAGCAGAGCCGCAGGUCCUGGAGUGAGUGAUAACUGCUUCACUGCUGAUUCGUUGCGUGUGUGCAGGACGGGGUAUGCGCCGAAUCCGUGGGAGGCGGUGGUCAGAAACGAUGACGAUGAACAUGUGAAAAGCGGUGGGCGGCGGAGGCGCGCCACUCCUUGGGUGGAGACCGAGAAGGAAAGAAUGAAAGUCUCAUGUUUGAGACUGGUUGAAGCCCAUUGCUUGCUGCUGUCGGUGCUGGUUCAUGGCACCGUCGUUGGAUGUGUUCAUUUGUAGAUACAGUUCUUCCAUGUAGUUGUCAUUUGUAGAUACAAUUCUUCCAUGCAGUUGUCGGCUCACGUGUUUGUGUACACAUUGUACAAGCGCUUGCACAAGGUCGGCACGACCGUGCGGUUUCCAAGCUUCGGAUGGUGAUGGCAUUCCGCCAGAUUCACUCUUCCAGUAUACAUAGUGGCUCGAAUGCAUUGAAUGCAUGGAGACUACAAAUCGCAGCAAUCAGUGUUGCAUUCAUGAAUAAGAUGUACUUUUGAAGUAAAUGUAUAAAAGCUAAGUUCCGGUUUGGAUGCACAUGUUGUACUCACAGUUAGUUGAUUUCACCAAUUAGGGCUUGUAUGAUUGGUAAGCCUACACAACACAGACAUGCAUUGAUAUGAGAUGCAUCACAUCGGCUUUUAAAUGUCUAAUAAUGAGAAAUUCGGAGUGACAUGUAUUUAGUAAAUAUGAUGGCCAUAUUUGUGAAUAAGAGGAAGCACACAAAUAUCUAGUUGAGGGUUUAUUUCAUGAUAAGAAGUAAUAUUUUACAAAUAUAAGAAAUGAUUGAUCUUUGAAUAAUGUAUGUAGUAAUUGGAGGUUUUUGAAAACUGAAAACCAACAAUACAUAUGAAUGUGCCAAUUUCUAGUAAGAUUUGGAAUGUAGAUUUAGGUUUUCCUUCCCAACUUUUAUGUAUGUUUCUAAAGUAGUUUUCUUCUAUAUUUUAGAAUGAUCUCUUCUACAUUAUGAAUAUUUGUUUUGUUUUGUUUUUGUUUUGUUUUGUUUUUUUUUUUUUUCAUUUAUUUAUUUAUCCAAUAGCCAUAUUAAAACACAACAUUGGUUCAUAAUAUAGUAAUUUGGUGUUACCAAAACUCUUUAAAGAAUUUGAUCAAAAUUGGUUGUCAAAUGUAAAUAGUUCCUAUAUGGAUUCAAUUUGAAUUGGUAGCAUUUUGUAAUAUGAUCAAUACAAUUAAUUUGUUUUAAUAUAAAUCAAUUAAAACAAAAUCUAGGUCUCAGAGAAUUUUACAUCCACUUAGUGACAAGCUAAACUAAAACAAGGUUGCUUUGAAUAUUAUAAAAAUUCAAGAAAAGGAUAAAAUAAAUAAAUUGUGUUUACAAUAAACAAUACAAAUGGAAUGUAAGUUCUUAAUAAGAUAAUAAAAUAUAUUCAAGAUCUAAAUAAAGAAUUUAAUAAUUUAUAUUUUUUUAUAGUAAUAUGUAAUGUUAAAUACAAACUAUAAAAAGAUUAUGUGUCAACAAAUUUGGCAACAAUUUAAGACAUGUGAUAAUAUGAAAUGUUAACUAUCUUUGGAAUUACUAUAAAUGUUAAACGAAUUAGACUAGUCUUUUAAAUAAAAAUAUCAAUUUUUAAUCAAAUAAAAAGAAACAAGAAGUUUUUAAUAGUAAAUUUUAUUAUUGAACUUUAUUGUUAAGAAUCUAUUUGAAUAAAAUACAACAUAAAAAUGUAUUGUCUCUAUUUAUUUGUAACAAAAUUACAUCUAAUACAAAUUUUGCUACAUCCAAUUCUAUACAAUAUAAUUUAAAAAUAACUCAGGGAUAUAAAAUAAGAUUUAUAAAAGAAGACAUUUUUAAAUAUUAAAACAUUUCUUUUGCAUCUUUAUUCUACAUUAAUUUGUCUUCAAAAGUCAAUUGUAUUAGUAGAGCAACAAUUUGAAUUUUAUUUUUUAUUUUUUUAUUAACACUUUGUUAUAGUUUACAAAUUUUAACAAACACUAAACAUUAUAUACAUUUCUUGAGAUUGUUUGAUCUUUGCAUGUUUGUAUCUUUUUAGAGUUCCUUUGUAAAGUACCAUUUAAUAUGCUAUAGUCCAUGAUAUCACUUGAAUUGUGUGAAAUACACAUUUUUUGAUCUUUGCAUAUAAUCCUACAUUUUUAAGUUUGUAAUAUAAGAAAAAAGAUAUUAUUGAUAUUUCUCUUUAUUCAUAAAAUACAUAAGAAUUUAAUUUGAAUAAUGCUCAAUCAAAUUAUCUAAAAAAUUCAUGAAAUACAUUAUUCAUCAAUUAUUAAAAGUAGUUGGAGCAUUUGUAAAUUUGAAAGGAAAUAUAUUUCAUUUAAAAUGGCCGUAUUAAGAUCAAAAUAUAUUUUGCUAUUCAUCUCCUUCUUUAAUAUAUACAAAAUUGAAGUUUCUUUGUAGAUCCAUCUUAGUAUAGAUCUUUAGUGCACUAAGUUAAUCAAAGAAUUCCAAUACAUCUUAAUACUCUUUAUACAUUUCAACUUGAGUGAAUUAAUUAAGAAACCUUUAUUCUUCACAAAAAAUAUUGAUGCAUCAAUAAGACAUUCUAAAUGUUGAAUAAAACUCUUCACAAUAAUUUCAUUGAUAUAUUCUAUCAUAAAAGAAAUGUUUAUGUAUAAGUUGUAAAUUGGUUCAAAAUAUAAAUGAAUUCUUUCUUUAAGAUCAAUUGUAUAAUUAUAUGGUCGACAUUUUGGCAAUGUGUAAGCAAUCUUCUUCUCAAAUAUAUCUUAAUAUUCUUUACAUUACUUUGAAAUGUUAUUAUAACCUCUAUUUGAUUUUUUUUGAAAUUAAUAUUACAUAAAUAAUAAACAUAUUUUGUAUAAAUGUGUUAGUUUUAAAAAAUUAUAUUUGAGGAGGUUUUUUAGCAUUUGGAUUAAAUCUUGAAGUGAUAUUUUGUAAUUCCUAAAAAAUAUUAAGAUUAUAUAAUUCAAAGGAAGAAAAAUCAAGUACUAUUGGAUUUAAAAGAUAUUGAUUGAUAUAAAAGGCAAUGCUAAAUACUUAAUCUCUUAAUAAUACUUCUAAUGAUUUAUUUUAUUUUAUUUUAUUUUAUAUAUAUAGCAUAUUAAAAUACAAGUGAUUUUGUGCCAAUGGCCUCUAUGGAAGCAAGUUGGAUUUUCUUUGAGUUUUUAUUGCAAUGCAAAUUUUUUAUUUAUAAAAUAUAUUGUAGCUCCAAUAUUAUGUUUUAAAUCAAGUUUUUAGUAAAGAAUGGAUGAGGACUAAAAUAAGUAUUAAAAAAAUAAAAAAUAAGACUUAAUAAAAAAACCAAUAGAAUUUUCUUUUAAAUUUCUCAAGAGUAAUAAGCUAUGGAUCCAAUUGCUUGCAACCACCUCCAAAUCAUGAAGUCGUUAUUAGUUUGAAGAAAAAAACAAGCAAAGGAUUCUAUACCAAGACUAUUAAGCUUUGUUGUAACUCAAAGAAAUAUACAUAUAUUUGAGGGAUCCUUGCAUUUGUAUUUUUAUGCAAAUAUGUGAACUUCAUGUCCAAAGUCACAAUCGACAUCUAUGUAUUGGCUAAGACAAGCAAAGAAAUGAGUUGGAAGGAGAUUAUCUACGAUGCAUUCAUGCAAGAGUUGCGUUACUUGAGGCAAGGCUCUAAUUUGUGCAAUACCAUUGGGCCCUUUUUCAUAGAUUACAUAUGUGAAUGAAAUUGCUAUGUUAUAAACUAUCAUUGCUUUCUUCUUCAACAAGCAAUGAAAGGCGUCAAGGAUUGUCUUGAAGAUGACAUCCUAAAAAAUGCGGCAAUAAAAGAAGCAUAACAUUGAAUGCAAACAAAUGAAAUCUUAUACCAAUAUUAAUGUCAAUACUAUUUUGGUCAAGACAAUGGAGCCUUAAUAUAAUCUAAGGGUGAGAAGGGAGAAGAAGAGAGAGAGAGAGAGAGAGAGAGAGAGAGAGGAGAGGAGAUAUGAACUGGGAUAUAAUAGCCCCAAACACUCAAUUACAAUAUCAAAUCCUAUGAUGCACCAUCUACAAGCUCAUAUCGUUGGAUGCAGUUCAAAGUGUGUAGCUACAAAACAACAAACAGGUUGAUCACACUUCUAUUCAAGAAUAUGCAAGACUCACCAUUGCUUUAUAAGUUGAACUCAAUGAUGUACAGCAACAGCUUAAAGAACAACAAAAUGCUCCUUCUAUCUUUACAAGUAUGAAAGACUUAAAACAUGUACGUUGUAAGGUCGAUAACAACCAAACAUAGCUUGAGUAGCGAGAUCAGAUGAUAUUGCAACAUUAAAAAGAUAUUGAGGCACUCACUUAUAAGCAUACAACUACAAAAGAAGAAAUAAAAGCACACAAUAGUAUAUUAUAUAAAGUCUUACUUAAGAAUACACAAGGCACUUGGAUAUAGAAGAUAAAAUGGAAAUUACAACAGUAAAGUCUUAAUAACUCUAAUAAAAUUUUAAAUAAAUUCCAAUUAAAGCUUUACAUUUUUAAUCAAAUUUUGAUCAAAUCCAAUUAAAAUCUUAAAGAAAUAAUGAAAGAAAUAUAAAGAAAACUUUAAGAAUUGACAAAAAUCUUUAAAAAAUACUAAAAAAUAAAAAAAUUCUAAGUAAAUCUUUAAUAAAUCCUAAGUAAAACCUGACCAAAUCCGAAUCAAAUCUUAAACCUUAAACCAAAUCUUAAUUGAAUUUUAAAUCCUAAAAGAAAUCCUAAUUGAACCUUGAAUCCUAAAUCAAAUCUUAAUAAAACUCUAAAUCCUUAAAAAAAUCCUAAUCAAAUUCUAAAUCCUAAACCAAAUUCUAAUGUAAUCUUAAUCCUUAAAUAAAUUCUUUAUCAAUCUUUUAGCAAAUUAAAACCUCAAUAAAUAAUAAUAUAAUUGUAGAUUUUGACUCAAAAUUUGUACACCUCUAAAUUACUAAUUUGACAACAAGUCCAAAUAAUUUGAAAAAGAACAAACUUAUCAAAUAAAAGAUAAAUCCUAAAAUCUAUUUGGAUGUUGGCUAACCUCUUAUUCUAACCUUGAUACCAAUCUCAUAGUACCAAUAUCUCUAAAUCUUACAAAGCAAUGGAUUUUAAAUUUUUUAAUAUUAAUAGAAAUUAAGUCUAUUACUAUUGUGUAAAUUUUUAUUUCAAUCUAAUUGGCAAAUUGUUGUAAAUCUUAAAAAACCUCAUUAGUUUUUUAAACUUUAAUUUCUAAGAUUCCAAUACAUUUGGAUUUCAAUAACCUUUGAAUAAGGUUUUAGAUCAAGCCUCAACUUACAAAAAUAUAUAUAUAUAUAUAUAUAUAUAUAACACAAUAAAAAUCAGUUAAUAAUAAAUUUUCAAAUUAUAAAUUUCAAAAAUGUUGCAUAAGCUCAAGCAAAAGAAUUACAUGCCGCAGAUAUGGAGUAACAUGAAGCAAAGAAGGAGGUUGAAUCCAUGAUCAAGGAUUUACAAAUCAAAUUCAAAGGAUCAACCUAUCAAAUAAGUUGACUUAUAGGCAUUGAAAAGUGUAAGCCCAUCACAUCACAAAAUGGUUAGAUCCAAUUGCCUCUUUACACAAUUGAUCUUGCAAAAAAAAAAAAAAAAAAAGAGUUUGUAUCUAAUCUACUACAAGACACCAAGUUCUAUACCAACAUACCUGAUUUCAAGCAAUCUUGCAAAGAUAUGACUACACCAUGUAUUUUAAAAACAAUCAUGGUAGAUCGACAUGACAUGUUGUAGAUUUUGGACAGUGCCUUCAAUCUUGAGUAUGACAUUCAUGAAACUCAAGAAACCUCCCAACACAAAAAGAUAAUAUUGAUAGUCUUGCAUAGGUAGCAACUAGCAGCAUGCUCAACCAAAUAUCUACUUAACAAUUUUAAUGCACAUACCACCAAUUCAAACAAUGAAACUACAAAUGUCAAGGAUGCAAAGAACAUUAUUUUGCAAAAAAAUUUCAAACAUACAAAACUCAAGGAGUGAUAUGCCAAAACCACAAAUAUUGUGGAUUACUUAAUUUGUACAAAGACAAUAGGGCGGCUAGUUUUUGAUGUCUAAAUUCAUGCAAUGCACAUACAUACCAACUAUUAGAGGAUGCAUCAGGCC
rnacentral:lncRNA from 1 species